CGCACCUUGCGCCCUCUGGUAUUCCGGAGGGCAUGCCUGUUUGAGUGUCAUUAAAUUCUCAACUUCAAAAGUUUUCAUUAACUUAUUGAAGCUUGGAUGUGGAGGCUUGUUGGCGUCUUAGAUGUUCAGCUCCUCUUAAAUGCAUUAGUGGAAUUCCCGUUUGGUUGGUCCAACUUGGUGUGAUAAUUAUCUACGCUUUGCUUGGUUCAACUGUGUCAGGUGUGCUUAGGCUAGAUCCUGGUUGUGAUAUUGCAUUCUCUUGCUUUAUCUGAUUGUGGGAAACUUAUCUGCUUUCUAACCGUCUGUUGCUUCAGACAACUUAUUGACCAUUUGACCUCAAAUCAGGUAGGACUACCCGCUGAACUUAA
rnacentral:misc_RNA from 1 species